rnacentral:lncRNA from 1 species
GGGCGUAUUGAACUUGGUCAAUUUUCGAAAAGUUUAGAUUUUCCGUUAACCGUUUCAUUGUUAGGACUUAGUUUCGUUACGAAGAAUUUAUCAUAUGCUUUCUGACUGUGGGCUAUACGAUAAUUUAUCAUAUCAUAUAACCGGUUUUACGAAGGUUGUAAAUCAGUGAUAUGUAUACAUAGGUCAAAGUAGCGUUGUUUCUGUGAGUUUUACGAGAAACGUUUCUGCUGUGAUUUUGAUCUUAGGCGAAAGUU